rnacentral:rRNA from 1 species
UAUGAAGGUCAGGCUGAAGACCUUACCCGAUUAGCUGAGAGGUGGUGCAUGGCCGUCGUCAGUUCGUACUGUGAAGCAUCCUGUUAAGUCAGGCAACGAGCGAGACCCACGUCCACAGUUGCCAGCAUACCCUCCGGGGUGAUGGGUACACUGUGGAGACCGCCGCUGCUAAAGCGGAGGAAGGAGUGGGCAACGGUAGGUCAGUAUGCCCCGAAUCUCCCGGGCUACACGCGGGCUACAAUGGUUGGUACAAUGGGCAUCUACCCCGAAAGGGGAAGGAAAAUCUCUUAAAGCCAAUCGUAGUUCGGAUUGAGGGCUGCAACUCGCCCUCAUGAAGCUGGAAUCCGUAGUAAUCGCGUUUCAACAGAACGCGGUGAAUACGUCCCUGCUCCUU